GUUGAAACCGUCACGGUCUCGAACAGGGUGGUGCGAGAAUGGCGCGACCAACGAUUCAGAAUGAGAAAGUUGAGUUCUCUUCGUUUCACUCUUUCAGUCUCUCGACUCUCUCUCUCUCGCCAUUUCCAUUUAUCUAUUGAAACCGAAACCCUAACGCGAAAUCGAUGUGGAAGUGGUUCACGAAGGGGGCAGAGGCGCCACCGCCGGUGGUGCUCGUUCCUCCUCUCUUCGAUUUUCCUCCCCUUGCCGCUCGCAACCGCAUGCUUCACUCCUCCUACGAUGUCGUUUUCGGAAAACUCGCUCUUCGAUGCCUCUUCCAAGACUAUUUCCACCAAGCGAGGCAUUUCACUACCACUAUCAUGCUCAAGCCUAUUGACGAUCCUCACGUCGACCUCGUCGCAACCGUUGCAGGUCCGGUUGAUCGUAAGCCGGAAGACAAUAUUGCAGGAAAUGCGUUGUUUCGGUGGCAGAGUGAUGUUAACGAUCCUCAUACGUUCAUGGACCUUUAUGUAUCCACAAUUGAUCCGAUUUUACAGAUGAGAUCGUGUGCUUACUAUCCCAAAUAUGGAUUUGGGGCUUUUGGAGUGUUCCCUUUGCUGUUGAAGAAAAGAGAAUCCUCCCAAGAUUAUGGCCUGAUGGGAUUGAGAUAUGGUUCUGGCAAUCUGUCCUUUGGAGUCACACUUAUGCCUUUUGCCAUGAAAGAUGAAUUACCAAAGAGUGCAUGGCUGGUAAGCAAGAUAGGAAGGGUGACUGCUGGGGUGCAGUAUGAGCCACAGCAAGGAAAUGCAAAACUUUCAAAUUUGAUGAACUGGAGUUGUGCCAUGGGUUAUGGUGUGGGAUCAGGCAGCCCCUUGAGUCCAUCCUUCAAUUUCAGCCUUGAGCUCGUUAAAAGCUCUCAGUUUAUUGCCUCAUUCUAUCAACAUAUGGUUGUUCAAAGAAGGGUGAAGAACCCCUUUGAAGAGAAUGUUGUCGUUGGAAUUACAAACUACAUUGAUUUUGGGUUUGAGUUACAAACAAGUGUUGAUGAUGCCUUUGCAGCUAACAACAUUGCAGACUCCACCUUUCAGAUAGGUGCAUCCUGGCAGGCCAAUAAAAAUUUAUUGCUGAAGGCAAAGGUUGGACCUCGUAGCUCAUCAAUGGCAUUUGCAUUCAAGUCAUGGUGGAAACCUUCUUUCACUUUCAGCGUUUCAGCCACCAGAGAUCGUGCUGAUGGUAAAAUGCAAUAUGGAUUUGGCAUCCAAAGUGAGAGUCUAAGAGAUGCCAGCUAUCAAAGAGCUGAUCCCAAUUUUGUAAUGCUAACGCCAAGCAAGGAGCACCUAGCAGAAGGCAUUGUCUGGGAAACAGGGAAGCGACCUAUGCUACAAGCUGACAUAAAUGCCGGACAUUUUGAUGGCUUGCCCAGAGAAUUACAACCUCUUGAUAAAAUUUUGUGAUUCAUUUUAUUAGCUUUAUUUUUUCUCUUGCCGAUAACGACACUAUUUCUUGUAGGAGUGGCCAGUGGAAAAUUGGAAAUGCUUUCAUAAGAAUGUAGUCUAGGGCAUUGCAUUCAAUCGGUAACUAGAAUGUUUAGCCUGUUUGCAUUGACAUUUCAGUAUCUACAAUCGAUUUUCAGUUUAGAACAGACGACGGAGUUGCUUUUAGCACGAAAAGCGAAGCCUGUUAAGCAGCAGCGAUUCUUUGUUCCUUUUGGAGGAAUCGAUUAUUGCUAGCAUUAUAGAAACAAGCCAGCUCUUUAAUUACAUGCUGCACUUUUUUAUGGCAGGAUGCGUUCACGUUGGACGUGUUGGAGGUUCCUCAGGGAUCUGGGUCUGGCUUUGUUUGGGACAAGAAGGGUCAUAUUGUGACCAAUUAUCACGUUAUUCGCGGUGCUUCUGAUCUCAGUUAUGUGCAGGGUCACUCUUGCUGACCAGUCAACUUACGAUGCCACAGUUGUUGGUUUUGACCAAGAUAAGGAUGUUGCUGUGCUGCGCGUUGAUGCUCCCAAGGACAAACUCAGGCCUAUACCUAUUGGGAUCUCUGCUGACUUGCUUGUUGGUCAGAAAGUGUAUGCUAUUGGGAAUCCGUUUGGACUUGACCACACUCUUACAACUGGUGUCAUCAGUGGACUUCGGCGAGAAAUAAGUUCUGCUGCAACUGGUCGUCCAAUUCAAGAUGUUAUACAGACAGAUGCAGCAAUUAAUCCUGGUAACAGUGGAGGGCCACUCUUAGAUAGUUCUGGAAACCUCAUUGGGAUUAACACAGCUAUAUAUUCCCCUUCUGGUGCAUCCUCUGGUGUUGGAUUUUCUAUUCCAGUGGACACUGUAAAUGGCAUUGUUGAUCAAUUGGUGAAGUUCGGGAAGGUUACAAGACCUAUUUUAGGGAUCAAGUUUGCUCCAGAUCAGUCUGUUGAGCAGUUGGGGGUUAGUGGAGUGCUUGUCUUAGAUGCUCCUGCCAAUGGUCCAGCUGGAAAAGCGGGCUUGCUACCAACAAAGCGUGACACCUAUGGUAGACUCAUUUUAGGUGACAUCAUAACAUCAGUGAAUGGUAAGAAGGUUACUAAUGGGAGUGAUUUGUACAGAAUUCUUGACCAGUGUAAAGUGGGUGAUAAGGUGAUUGUGGAGGUGUUGCGAGGUGACCACAAGGAGAAGAUCCCUGUCAUAUUGGAGCCAAAGGCUGAUGAAUCAUGAUGAUAUGCAACACAUCAUAUCCUGCAUGUAUAUAUAUUUCAUAUGCCAGGGAAUGAGUGCAGCUGUUUUAAGUGUAUUCUUAGGUUGUUUCUUGCUUCAUAAGAUGUCCAACUGUACAUAAUAAGUACUAUGGGACUGGCAGCACAUCACCCUCUAACUUUCUCAUUAUUCAAGUCACUACAACUUGCCACAUGUAUUUGCCCCAACACAAAUUGCUAUUCAGAUGAAGCAUGAUCAAUUUAUG